UACGAAGGGGGCUAGCGUUGCUCGGAAUCACUGGGCGUAAAGAGCGCGCAGGCGGUCGUACAAGUCGCGUGUGAAAGCCCCCGGCUCAACUGGGGAGGGUCACGCGAUACUGUUCGACUCGAAGGCAGGAGAGGGAAGCGGAAUUCCCGGUGUAGUGGUGAAAUGCGUAGAUAUCGGGAGGAACACCAGUGGCGAAGGCGGCUUCCUGGCCUGUUCUUGACGCUGAGGCGCGAAAGCUAGGGUAGCAAACGGG
rnacentral:rRNA from 1 species